rnacentral:rRNA from 1 species
UACGUAGGUCCCGAGCGUUGUCCGGAUUUAUUGGGCGUAAAGCGAGCGCAGGUGGUUUAUUAAGUCUGGUGUAAAAGGCAGUGGCUCAACCAUUGUAUGCAUUGGAAACUGGUAGACUUGAGUGCAGGAGAGGAGAGUGGACUUCCAUGUGUAGCGGUGAAAUGCGUAGAUAUAUGGAGGAACACCGGUGGCGAAAGCGGCUCUCUGGCCUGUAACUGACGCUGAGGCUCGAAAGCGUGGGGAGCAAACAGG